CGUCCGAUCUGCGAGCCAGCUCCGCGUCCAUCUGGGCCAUUCGUCGAUCUGCCCCUCGAGACAAAAUGCCCCAUACGAAACCCUAGCCGCCAGGCCCGCGUGAUCUCCCUCUCCAUUUGCUUCGCCUUCGCCUCUGCGUCCGUUCAUCUUCGACACCCUCCCUCGCGUGCGCCGCCGCAUCGGCCGCCGCCACGCCGCACUGCAUCUGGUGGCAAGCAGGAGGCGAUUGAGUUGUGGUGAGCUGCACAAACGAGGGAAGGGCGGCAGCGUCAUGCUCGACCUGCAAUCAGCCUCGAUGCAGGACGCAUCCUCCCACUCGCCGCCCUGGAUCCCAGUACCUGCCUCCUCCUCUGCUCUACCCCAAGGUCUUCUAGCCCCAAGCCCCACCGUUCCAAAGUCGCCGCCUCUGGGAGCUCUUCCUCCCUAGCUCUUGCCUCCCGGAUGACGUCACCGGUGGGAAAAGAUUGCAAGUAGCAUACACACAUGAAGCUGCUGCACCGCGUUCAUAGAUGAGGCCUGCCCAUUUUCGAGAUUUUCUGUUAUAGAGUUGUUCUUGAGGGACACAUGGCUGGUCUAGAAGAUGGACCUUCACGUAUGCCCCAUCAAUCUAUUCAUUUAGAGAGAAAAUGGCACAUGUUCAGAGAUGGAGAUUAAACUGUCCAUUUGUGCGCUGCUUAGGUUGAAACUAUUCAAGAAGAUGGAUUAGAGAGUGAUUUAUAUGAAGAUGUAUGCAAAGAAGACAAUGGUUCAUUUGUGUAUACUUGAAGUCACCUCUGCCGUUGUUGCCCGUCCCCAGCAAGCUUCAAAUAUCACAUGCUAUCCAGAUAUGAUGAGUCUUAAUAAUUAUGACCUGCGGGUCAUCUAUAUCAAUCUCUGCAUAUAUGCAAGAUAAACUUGAGUGAUCUGGAGUGAAUGGGAGAUUAGGAGGCGUGCAAUAAAGAAAUAUCUUCAGUGUCGGUUACCUAAAGGACAUUUGGAUAUUACAUUUUGCAAUAGACGAGGAAUCGGUUGCAUUAUUUAUACAUGGUGCUAAGAAGGUGACUAAAAUUUUCCUAAAUGAAGAUCUUGACUUAGUUUGUGGAAUUUAGAGAGAACAAAAUGAUCAUAUGUGCAUCUAUGGUGAUCAUUUGCUCUUCUGGUGUUCUUCUCAUUCAGUACUCGUAACUCUAGACAUGAGUGCAGAUCUGGGGAGGUCUAGAACAGGAAGAAGCUACCAUAGAAAAUUCAUUAAGAAGCUGCCAAACGUUCAUAUCAGCCUCUUGCCUUUCAUAAGAAACCAUACUCAAUUAUGUACAUGGGAGAACUACAGCAUAAUACCUAUGGUACAAUAGCACAAAUGUGCUGGAGAGGCCGGUCUUACUAUUUAGUACCAUGCACACUUUUCCCAUGGGAGCUACUAUGCAUUCGGUGUCAUAUUCCAUGCAGCCAAAGGUCUGUUCAUCAAUCUCUUGGCGUGAACACUUUAAUUGCUUUUUCGUAUCUGCCAUUAGAGUAACAUAGGUCAACGUACAGAAAUAGCAUGUGUUGUACAGCUUCAUGUGGAGAUUUCUCAUGGUGUUCUCUAUCUUGUUGUGUAUAUAAAAUGUAUAGUGUUAUACCCCUGAGGAUUCUCGUUCAUGUUGUUCCUUUGGCAUCUAUGUUGGAUUUGUGUGAAUUAUGUGUAACUUAACUCACUUCAGCUAUAUGAAAGCUCUGUUUGUAUCUUGGUGCUGAUUUAUCUUAGUGCCGAUACAAGCAGAUAUUUUUAUCUUUGCAAA